AGCGAACGCUAGCGGCGGGCCUAACACAUGCAAGUCGAGCGGAGGGCAACCCUCAGCGGCGAACGGGUGAGUAACACGUAGGUAAUGUACCCUCUGGUGGGGAAUAACCGUGGGAAACCAUGGCUAAUACCGCAUAUGUCUUUCGAGAUGAAAGACAGCAAUGCGCCAGAGGAGCAGCCUGCGGCCGAUUAUUUAGUCCUAGUUGGUGAGGUAAUGGCUCACCAAGGGUGCGAUCGGUAGCUGGUCUGAGAGGAUGAUCAGCCACACUGGAACUGAGACACGGUCCAGACUCCUACGGGAGGCAGCAGUGGGGGAAUAUUGCGCAAUGGGCGAAAGCCUGACGCAGCCACGCCGCGUGAGUGAUGAAGGCCUCGGUUGG
rnacentral:rRNA from 1 species